rnacentral:misc_RNA from 1 species
GGAACACUAUCCGACUGGCACCGAGAAAGGCAUAGGGUGACGUCGGUGGAGAUGUAUAGUCUUAGGGUGAGGCUGGUA